AAAAACCUUACUUUCUGUUUAAUUCGUUUUGCCAAACAAACACAGUGAAAACUUUAGUCUGACUAAUUGUACAGAAAAUAGAAUUUGUAACCAGUAGCAAACAUAACAGUAUAGACCUAAGUCCCUGGCAAGCUGGAUAUCCAUCAAGUCACCCAGACGGCCUCCUGGGAAGGAGGUUCUGGGAGGCAGAGGCACAGAUCUGCCAGUUCCAAUCAGAGUUACAGGGUACACCUGGAAAGGAAAAGCACAAAAAUAGAACUGAUGUUACUUGGAUCUCUUAUCACUACACAGGUAACUUUUCUCUGAUUGCUGGCCAAAUUCAAAGGUGUUGUCUUCCCAAACCCACAGUCCCUGGGCAUCCAGCCUGCAUCCCUAGGGUAUAAGUUUCAAGUUCAGUGGUUCUGAAGCCUCUGCUUAACCAGAACCUGCAACAUAAACUUGGAGGUGGGGGUGAAGGUGGGGAGGAGUAGACAAAGUCAUAAUCGCUGGUGUCACCAGUGUAGUCUGAGGUCCCAGACUUCCUUUAGGAGGAAACAAGAGAGGGUGCCAGGUCACCAGCAAGAGUCCAGUUAAGCCUCAGUACUGUUAACCAGUGUCCCAGAAAUAUGAGAGAGUUCAACAGCGGUGGCCUGAGGUCCCCCUAAGAUGGUAGGAGUCCAGGAAUCCCGAAGGCCGAAGGGGGACUCGUUCACAUUCCGUGCUUCUUGCGGAUGACAGCCAUCGCCAGCAGCCGAUCCUUCUCGCGGAGUUCUUCUCGGAGUUUGGCCUCAGUGAGACGCAGGUGACGGAUGCUGCCCUUCAUCUCCUUCAUCUUCACCUCCAUCAGCGCCAGGAUGUCCCGCUGCUCGUUCAGCUUGCGCAGGAGCUCCUCCUCCGUGGUGCCUGAUGACAACGAGUAAGAGUGGUCGGAGCCAGUAUCAGGGAAGCCCUCUUCCCCUACUACCACCAACUGGGGGCCCAUGGGGCACUCAGCGGCCUCCAGCCCCGCUGUAGCAGCCUCUAGCUCCGACGCAGCAGCUGCGGCGGCUGCGCCCUCUGCGGCCGCGAACUCCACUUGCACCGUCAGGUCGAUGGGCUUCACGUCUUCUCCCGUGGGAGUGGUGGGCGCCGGCUGGCCAGAUCCAGGAGCCUGGCUGCUGUCUACCGCGGCCUGAAGAGUGAGGAGCACAGCCGCAGAGGCAGACACUAGGUUCGGCUGCAGCUGGCCCGUCUGGGCAGUAGAGGCUGACGGCGACGGUUGCGGCGGCGGCGGCGGCUGCUGCUGCUGUUGUUGUUGCUGCUGUUGUUGUUGUUGCUGCUGCUGCUGCUGCCUGCGGCGGGCGGCUGCAGCCCCCGCGGGUCGCCGUGCUACUUUGCGCUCGUUGACGCCGCGCAGCGGGAAGAUGGUGGGGACCCGCACGGUGUAGGUUUUGCGGCCGCCCUGGAAGUGGACGCUGCAGAGACGGUGGCCUGUGGUGGGCUGGAAGGUGGAGAAGCACCCACUGACGCCAGCACGGGACACAUUCUUGAGCCAGAGGCGCCGCAGCUCAGCGUCCUUGGGGAACGUGUAGAAGUGCAACGCCUUAUCCCGGUGCGAGUUGUUGUAGCAGCCCGGCACGCAGCACGUAAAGCCAGGCAUGGCUGCGCCGCGCGGCCCGGCCCGGCCCACCGGCCUCCAGAGCCUUUCGACGGCCGGGUCUAUCUGCCGCCGCCCGCCCCUCGACGGGCGGCGCCGCGCGAGGCCUUGGGCGGCCUCCCACUACUGCCGCCCGGUGCAGCCGGCCUGGCCCGGCGUCCCGUGCCCAGAAUACGCCUCCCGCCGGCCCGCGCCGAACCACCCGCCCAGCCGCCCGCCUGC
rnacentral:lncRNA from 1 species